rnacentral:lncRNA from 1 species
GACUUUUGUGCUUGAUCCUAAUCUGUUCUAAGGUCUUUUAGAACAAAUGUAACUCCCACUAUUUUCUCGAAUUCCUCACACUCCCCUGGUAGGAAAACGAAAAUCCCACACGACUAGGGUUUCUAGUGGGUACUGCGGUCCCACCAAUUUACAUGCCACCUCACCUAACGGUUAUUAAUGACACAUAAAUUGAUGAAUGUACAACUCUUGUACAAUGCUUCUUAAGCAUGUUGCAGUGCUACUUGGUCUCUAAGCCAUGAAAACCUCACCUAACAGUUAUUGGUCCCAUUUCUUAGUUAAGUCAGACCCACCGUAUAACCGUAGGAAUAAAGUCGUCAUUGGGUCCUCACCUAACAGUUAUUGGUGCCCAACCCCACCUUUACCC